rnacentral:lncRNA from 1 species
AUGUCAUCUUCAGAGCAUUCUACUGAGAAGGGAUAUGGCUGACCUCUAUGGCUACUCACUGAGAGCUCUAUCACAGUGACUGAGAGGGAAGGACAGGACUUCAUUCUUCAGUGCAAACCAACCCCCCCAGAAGGGCUGCAAAGAACUGAAAUCAAUCUGAAGAAAAGCUAUUAAUAAUUCUUUUCAUAUAGCCUUACCCUGAGGCAGUUGAGCUUCUAAGGCUGAUCCUUAAGAAUGUCACCAAUGUGGUGACACCAUCUCGAUGCAGGUGAUAUUAGCACCUACCAGUACUGGCUUCACGUUCAGGGCAGGUUGAAAGAUCUCCUAUUUGCAUGCCAUUCAUUUCUCAGAGCACUACGUGUGCGUUGUGGUGAUAGGUACUGUGCAAAC